CCUACGGGAGGCAGCAGUGAGGAAUAUUGGUCAAUGGCCGUAAGGCUGAACCAGCCAAGUAGCGUGAGGGAAGACUGCCCUAUGGGUUGUAAACCUCUUUUAUGCGGGGAUAAAGGGGUCCACGUGUGGAUGUUUGCAGGUACCGCAUGAAUAAGGACCGGCUAAUUCCGUGCCAGCAGCCGCGGUAAUACGGAAGGUCCGGGCGUUAUCCGGAUUUAUUGGGUUUAAAGGGAGCGUAGGCCGGUCUUUAAGCGUGCCGUGAAAUUUUGUGGCUCAACCAUGAGAGUGCGGCGCGAACUGGCGACCUUGAGUGCGCGGCCGGCAGGCGGAAUUCGUGGUGUAGCGGUGAAAUGCUUAGAUAUCACGAAGAACCCCGAUUGCGAAGGCAGCCUGCCGCAGCGUUACUGCCGCUGACGCUCGAAAGCGCGGGUAUCGAACAGGAUUAGAUACCCGGGUAGUC
rnacentral:rRNA from 1 species